rnacentral:sRNA from 1 species
AUAAGAAGAAGAAAAAAA